rnacentral:rRNA from 1 species
UACGUAGGUGGCAAGCGUUGUCCGGAUUUACUGGGCGUAAAGAGCGCGCAGGCGGUCGUUCAAGUCGCGUGUGAAAGCCCCCGGCUCAACUGGGGAGGGUCACGCGAUACUGAUCGACUCGAAGGCAGGAGAGGGUAGUGGAAUUCCCGGUGUAGUGGUGAAAUGCGUAGAUAUCGGGAGGAACACCAGUGGCGAAGGCGACUACCUGGGUAGAGACUGACGCUGAGGCGCGAAAGCGUGGGGAGCAAACAGG